GCUCUUCCAUCUCAAUGGGCUUCAGAGGCCACCUCAGCACCCCUAAGGGUCAGUUUGGAUCUAGCUUUGACUGGAUCUGUCCUCUGGGGAUAUUGUGUUGGAGGUGCAGCCACACUCAGUGCAGCCAUACUCUGUGCAGCCACGCUUAGAGGUGGUAUUACGGAAAGGUGGUGGCUGGGUCUACAGGAAGAGUCUUUGUGA
rnacentral:lncRNA from 1 species